rnacentral:rRNA from 1 species
UACGGGGGGGGCAAGCGUUGUUCGGAAUUACUGGGCGUAAAGGGCUCGUAGGUGGCCAACUAAGUCAUACGUGAAAUCCCUCGGCUUAACCGGGGAACUGCGUCUGAUACUGGAUGGCUUGAGGUUGGGAGAGGGAUGCGGAAUUCCAGGUGUAGCGGUGAAAUGCGUAGAUAUCAGGAGGAACACCGGUGGCGAAGGCAGCCUUCUGGGCCAACACUGACGCUCAUGCACGAAAGCGUGGGGAGCAAACAGG